rnacentral:rRNA from 1 species
AAUCAACGCUGGCGGCGUGCCUAACACAUGCAAGUCGAACGCGAAAGUGGAGCAAUCCAUGAGUAGAGUGGCAAACGGGUGAGUAACGCGUGGGCGACCUACCUUCGAGUGGGGGAUAACAUUCCGAAAGGAGUGCUAAUACCGCAUGACAUCCCGUGUUUGGAUACACGGACAUCAAAGCAGGGGAGUCGCAAGACCUGGCGCUUGGAGAGGGGCCCGCGUCCGAUUAGCUAGUUGGUGAGGUAACGGCUCACCAAGGCUCCGAUCGGUAUCCGGCCUGAGAGGGCGGACGGACACACUGGAACUGAGACACGGUCCAGACUCCUACGGGAGGCAGCAGUGGGGAAUUGUUCACAAUGGGCGCAAGCCUGAUGACGCAACGCC